rnacentral:tRNA from 1 species
GUUUCCAUAGUGUAGCGGUUAUCACGUUCGCCUCACACGCGAAAGGUCCCCGGUUCGAUCCCGGGCGGAAACA